AUUGAACGCUGGCGGCAUGCUUUACACAUGCAAGUCGAACGGAUCAGAGGGGCUUGCUCCUCUGGUUAGUGGCGAACGGGUGAGUAAUGCAUCGGAACGUACCGUGUAGUGGGGGAUAACCCGGCGAAAGUCGGAUUAAUACCGCAUACGAUCUACGGAUGAAAGUGGGGGACCGCAAGGCCUCACGCUAUACGAGCGGCCGAUGGCGGAUUAGCUAGUUGGUAGGGUAAAGGCCUACCAAGGCAACGAUCCGUAGCGGGUCUGAGAGGAUGAACCGCCACACUGGGACUGAGACACGGCCCAGACUCCUACGGGAGGCAGCAGUGGGGAAUUUUGGACAAUGGACGCAAGUCUGAUUCAGCCAUGCCGCGUGAGUGAAGAAGGCCUUCGGGUUGUAAAGCUCUUUUGUCAGGGAGCAAAUCCUGUUUCUUAAUACGGAACGGGGAUGAGAGUACCUGAAGAAUAAGGACCGGCUAACUACGUGCCAGCAGCCGCGGUAAUAC
rnacentral:rRNA from 1 species